GUACCUGUUCCAGGAGAAAACCAGAGCAAAACCCAAAUGGUCCUUCCAAUUGUGAGAAGUGACAGCGGAUGGUUCGAUGAAGAUGCCAGCUGACGCUGUCCCACUAAUUACGGAAAACACUCAAUCCGCUGGUAGACCGUACGUGGGGAUGUGACCCCCUUCCUGGAAAACGAUCCAUGACCUGCAAAGUCGAUCUAGUAACCAUAUUCCUGCGGAUGCAAAUUCUGAAGAUCAUUUGCAGACUUGAAACCGUGAGAAAAACCUGCUGCCAGGCCUCGACCCUUGAUGUGAAAGAUGGUUCCUCCGAUCAUGUCAGUGUCACCCGGUGAUGUGGUCGUGCAGGCAAAGUACUCCCAAGAGGCGUCCAGUCAGGGAUCCAACCUGAAUUUUGCAGGAGAUGGCACAGGGAGGAGGCAAAAACCAAAAGCGCAGUACAGAUUAAGGGGAAAUCCAAAGGCAGGGUUAGACGAGAAGCAGAAGUCAGGGC